GCCACGGUGGUCUAGCGGUUAGAACGCUGGCCUUGUAAUCCUGAGGGGUCUCGGGUUCGAUUCCCGGCGGUGCCC
rnacentral:tRNA from 1 species